rnacentral:misc_RNA from 1 species
UGGUUCCAGCAUCGAUGAAGAACGCAGCGAAAUGCGAUAAAUAAUGUGAAUUGCAGAAUUCCGUGAAUCAUCAAGUUUUUGAACGCACAUUGCACUCCUUGGUAUUCCGAGGAGUACGCCUGUUCGAGCGUCAUUCAACUAUCAAGCUUGGCUUGGGUUUGAAUUCCUGCCGUGGCAGGAUUCCAAUAUUGUCGGCAAUUGACCAUCUGUGAUGACCCACUUGGAGUUGAUUUGCCUCAAUUAUCCAUCAAACCGUUGACCUCGGAUCAGGCGGGGAUACCCGCUGA